UGCUAUACAUGCAGUCGAGCGGAUCUUUGAGAGCUUGCUCUCAAAGAUUAGCGGCGGACGGGUGAGUAACACGUGGGUAACCUGCCUGUAAGAUUGGGAUAACUCCGGGAAACCGGAGCUAAUACCGGAUAACAUUUUGAACCGCAUGGUUCGAAAUUGAAAGGUGGCUUUUGCUACCACUUACAGAUGGACCCGCGGCGCAUUAGCUAGUUGGUGAGGUAAUGGCUCACCAAGGCAACGAUGCGUAGCCGACCUGAGAGGGUGAUCGGCCACACUGGGACUGAGACACGGCCCAGACUCCUACGGGAGGCAGCAGUAGGGAAUCUUCCGCAAUGGACGAAAGUCUGACGGAGCAACGCCGCGUGAGUGAUGAAGGCCUUCGGGUCGUAAAGCUCUGUUGUUAGGGAAGAACAAGUACCGUUCAAAUAGGGCGGUACCAUGACGGUACCUAACCAGAAAGCCACGGCUAACUACGUGCCAGCAGCCGCGGUAAUACGUAGGUGGCAAGCGUUGUCCGGAAUUAUUGGGCGUAAAGGGCUCGCAGGCGGUUCCUUAAGUCUGAUGUGAAAGCCCACGGCUCAACCGUGGAGGGUCAUUGGAAACUGGGGAACUUGAGUACAGAAGAGGAGAGUGGAAUUCCACGUGUAGCGGUGAAAUGCGUAGAGAUGUGGAGGAACACCAGUGGCGAAGGCGACUCUCUGGUCUGUAACUGACGCUGAGGAGCGAAAGCGUGGGGAGCGAACAGGAUUAGAUACCCUGGUAGUCCACGCCGUAAACGAUGAGUGCUCAGUGUUAGAGGGUUUCCGCCCUUUAGUGCUGCAGCAAACGCAUUAAGCACUCCGCCUGGGGGAGUACGGUCGCCAGACUGAAGCUCACAUGAUUAGA
rnacentral:rRNA from 1 species